CCUGGGUGCAGCCACCCAGACUCACCAGCUAUGCCAGUGGCCUCCUGAUUUCCCUCGUCACUCUUCUCGUCCUCUGGCUGAGCUCAGCCCAGCUCAGAGUGGUGGGACCAGGACACCCUCUCACUGCCACCGUGGGGCAGGAUGUCGUGCUGCCCUGCCACUGUCCCCUCAACGCGAUGCUCGCAGCUUGGAGGUCAGGUGGAUCCGGGACAAGUUCUCUGAGACAGUGCACCACUACUGCAAUGGAGAGGACCUGUACAAGGAGCAUAGAGGCAUAUGCCGGGAGGACAGAGUUGGUGAGAGACGGUCUCUCUGCUGGAAGCCUGGACUUGCGAAUCAUGGGGCUGAGGCCCUCUGAUGAUGGCCGGUACAUCUGCAUUGUGAAAGAUGGUGAUGCUUCUGAUGAAGCAAACGGUGAAUCUGGAGGUGUCAGCCCAGCUCAGAGUGGUGGGACCAGACGAGCCUGUCACUGCCACCGUGGGGCAGGAUGUCGUGCUGCCCUGCCACUGUCCCCUCAACGCGAUGCUCACAGCUUGGAGGUCAGGUGGAUCCGGGACAGUUCUCUGAGACAGUGCACCACUACCGCAAUGGAGAGGACCUGUACAAGGAGCAGAUGGGGGCAUAUGCCGGGAGGACAGAGUUGGUGAGAGACGGUCUCUCUGCUGGAAGCCUGGACUUGCGAAUCAUGGGCUGAGGCCCUC